UCCUUUUCUGCUUGUAUUUUUGACUCUAGACUUCAGCACCCUUCAUCAGCUCCCUGACAGAUCUACUUUGCAGCUUCCUUUUCUGUGUUGUCUUCCCCAAUUAGGAUCUAAGCUCCUUAGGGGCAGGGUUAUCUAUCUUUUUUUUUGCUUUUAUAUGUUUCAAUGGUGUUUAGCAGAAUGCUUGGCACACAGUACAAAGUCCAUAGGUUAGUUAUUAUUUAUUAAACUCUAGUUAUGUGCCAGACUCUGUCUUAAGCUUUGAAGAUACAACUCUGAAUCUAUGAUCCUAUGUACUUCAUGUCAUAUGCUAGACAAUACAUUUCUUCAUUCAUUUGAUUUUUCUUGUUUAGAUUAUUAGAGUUAUAUUUUAUAAAUAGUUACAGAUUUCAAUAAGGAGGAUCUGAAGUAAUCUAGAAUUUGGCUCAGCCAUCAGAAUAUCAUCUGGAAAAGGGAGCACAUGUAGAAAUUUUUUUUUUCAUAAGGAAUUUCUCUUUUUAUUCAGAUUCUUUUCUGGUUAUAAUCAGUGACAAUAGUCAGCAUAUUUGCCUAGGCCACAUUUCUGCAUUAUAAUCCUUUCAUGAUAUUGAGAAGCAUGGCAUCAUUGAACAAAGUUAUCUAAAUUUUGUGUAGAUCAAGUAAUCUUGUAUGAUAAUUACAAGUAUGAGAAAGAAACUCUUUGGGGAUAGAAAUUAAUCCUGCAUUUUUCUUUUUUCAGUUAUGAAUUUUUAUAUUUUACAUAAUUUUUAUAAACAACAUGAUGGAUGUUUAUGUUCUCUAUAUGGAAUCAUAGUGAGGGAUCAUGAAUUUAGAAAUGGAAAAAUUCUUAGAGAACGUAGAAAUAGAAGAAUAAUAAUAAGAUAGUAUUUGUAGAAAACUUCAUUUCUAAAUUGCUUAAAAUAUAUUCUUAUCUUCUCUUCAAAACAAACUUCUGAUGUAGGUGCUAUUAUUGUCCCUGUUUUAUAGAUGAGGAAUUCGAGUCAAACAGAAGUUGAGUGACUUAUUCAUGCUUAUAUAGGUAAUCAGUGUCUAAGGUAGAUUUAAACUCAAUUCUUCCUAUAUCAAAUUUCAGGCAAUUAUAUGAUUGUAAAUAUUUGGGCUAUCAUAAGAAAAUUAUUCACAAAAAAAUCCCUGUCUUUACUCAUAUUUUGUUAAAUAUAGCCUCAAUCCAUGUGGAGAUCAUUCUCAUUAAAAUGUUAUAAAGACUAGAAAGUAAAGAAUAUGUGCUAAUAGUUAUUAAUGUACUCUUGUCUCUUUCUUUUUCUUUAUCCAUUAUAUUGCCUUCUGUAUUUUUCACUUCUUCACCAAAAAAAAAAAAAAACACAUUUCAUAUCGUUCUUUUUUAAAUACAUUGAAAAUCAAUCCCUCAAUGCCUUCAGAAUAUCUUUUCCUGUAGGAUACAUUUGUUGUGUAGAGUUGGUCUAGUCCAGCUGGUUUGUCUUUCUUUAUCUUCCUUGGGACCAUCUAUACUUUUUCCUAUAGCAAGCACAUGAUUUUUUUUUUCAUUUCUGUUGAUUUGGUUGUUGCUUCACCAUGCUUACUCUCAGAGGACCAGCCUAGUGAAUGAAUCACUUUGCAUCUUGUUAGGCUACAAACAAGCACAGUCAGUUUCUGGGCCCAUACUUAAAUGUAUGGUAGAAUUUACAUGGUAGAAUUUGCCAGAAUUGUACUUGGCUGGCCUACAUGGAGAGAUCCUGGGAGGAGACAUCAGAGUAGGAUUUUUAGGAGAGAGAGAAGAAGGAGUUAUAAAGUUCUAAGAAGGUACACCAAUAUAAAAAUUAAUCAGUUGUAAAAAAGUAGGAUGAAAUAGUGAGUGGCAUCAUUUAAGCCCUAUGAAAAGUUUUAAGGAGGAGAGAGAUUCAGGCAAGAGGAGGAGAGGGAAGGAAGCAUGGGAGAGAGUGAAUAAAAAUGUGAAAUAGUGAGCUGAGUUUUAAAGGAUGACCAAGAGAGCACUUCCUGACAUGCAUGCAGGAGAUGGAAGGUUAUAUGUGAAGAAAAGAAAAAAAGGCAUAUUUCACUGGUGUGUAGAGUAUGUGGAGCUGGAUAAAAUGUAAAAAAUACUAGAAAGGUAGAUAGAGGCCAAGUUGCAAAAGACAUUGUGUCCCUCUUGCUCAAAGAACUUAUAUUUUAGUGGGUGAAGGAACAUGUAUUAAAAUAAAUAUAUACAAGAUACAGAGUAGAUAAAAAGUAGAUGUUAACAUGAGGGUGUGGAGUUGGACAAAGCUGGGGACAAGGAAGGCCUCCUGCAGGAAGUAGAAUUUGAGUUAAAUCUUGAAGGAAAGUAGCAAGUCUGAGAGGUAGAAGUGAAGAGGACUCACAUUCUGGGCAUUGAGGACUCAAACAAUAGAGUUUCUACAUUUCAUUGAUCCCCAUGUUCAUUUCAAAAUAGAAUAUUACAGAUGAUUGUCUUUGCCUCUGCCACUGUUUUAUUAGAUCCUCAAAGCUGCUUUUUGGAGCCUCCAAUUGGAAUAACAAAAUCAAUCAUAUACUCAACUCCCAGAAACUGGCAACUCACUCAACUGAAUGAAUAGACCCAUAAGGUGUUGGUCAUUUCCAAUCUUUUUUACCUAAAAUGAAACAACAAAUACCAAGGCAAAGAUUAUAGUUUGUGAUCCCCACCCCAAAUUUUUAAUAAUAGUAUUCUGGCUAAUUCUUAGACUUAAUAAGACUUUAGACAGUUGUCUAGUCUUUUAGACAGUCUCUGGUGAUUUCAGGAAGAAGGAAAAGAAAAUUAGGCUUGAAAUUUCUACAAACAGAAAGGUAAAAGUCUGAAAAGCAAGAUAGAAAGAAAAGUAUUCACUGGCUCCUUUGAAGAACUGAGAUAUUUUGCUCACAGAUAAAAUCUGGGAUUUUUCCCAACUUUCAACUUUUUCAUGUUAUAGAAAAUUACUAUCCCAAUUGAAAUGAUUCACUAAAGUCUUUUUUUUUCCCUUCAAGAUAUGGUGAAGAGGAAAUUCACAGUUCAUGAUUGAGUAACAGCAGAAAAAAAAAUUGGUGUGAACUCAGGCUGUAAGUUUGCUAUAUUUCACCUCAGAAGGCUGAAAAUGGAUUUAGCUGUAGAGCUGGUCAAAAAAAAAAAAAAGAAAAACCCUUUAAUUUGCCGAAAGAAAGUGACACCUUUAUUUGAGUAUGUAUUUGUGACCCUGAGAGAUUAAAGUCCUUAUUUCAGCUUCUACACUAAUGGAGCAGAGUUCACAGAGCUUUGGAGUUUGGAGACAAGCCAAUAUGAUAGGGAUGAGGUGGUAACUCAUAAUGAAAAUGGAAACAGUUGGAGAAGAAGACCCGAGAGCCACAGCAAGGACAAGGCAAUUGAAGCUUUUUCGACAGGUGAAAA